rnacentral:rRNA from 1 species
UGUCCAGUUCAAGCUCCGAUUGUGAGGGCGAAACCGCGAAUGGCUCAUUAAAUCAGUCAUAAUCUACUUGAUUGUUUCAAAGUUAUAUGGAUAACUGUGGUAAUUCUAGAGCUAAUACAUGCACAAGGGGCGCGACGUCCGCAAGGGCGAAGCGCUGCGUUUAUUAGACUAAGACCAGCGAGCCUUUUGGCUCUCUCUUUAAGGUGACUCUGAGUAAAUAACGGGUGAAAGCCCGUGUUGCCGACCUGGCACUCCAAAUGGCCGGCCUCUAAAGCCGGUCAGCCAGGCGAAUCAAUCGAGUGUCUGCUCUAUCAACUGUGGAUGGUAGGGUAAUUGCCUACCAUGGUGGUGACGGGUAACGGGGAGUUAGGGCUCGACUCCGGAGAACAAGCCUGAGAAACGGCUAGUAGGACUAAGGUCUGCAGCAGGCGCGAAACUUACACAAUGCUAGAACACUAGCGAUGUAGUGAAGAAAAAUAACGAUGCGCUUCUAUUUAAACAUAGUAGCGCAAUUGGAAUGAGACGACUUUAAAUCAGUUAGUCGAGUAACAAAUGGAGGGCAAGUCUGGUGCCAGCAGCCGCGGUAAUUCCAGCUCCAUUAGCAUACAUUAAAGUUGUUGCGGUUAAAAAGCUCGUAGUUGAAUGUUGCGCGGGUUCCGAGCUGGGCCGGCCGUUAAGGCCUUGGUGCCUAAAAACACCUUGGCUGGCCGUCGUCCAUGCGCUGGAGCUCGCUGUUUCGUCACUUAAUCGAGUGCGAAGCGGGCUGAAACAUUGGAUUGCUUCGCGCAUCCAUGCGUCAGCAUGUUUACCUUGAGAAAAUUAGAGUGCUCACAGCAGGCAGUUGGGGUGUAAAAGCUCCUUUAUGCUUGAAUAAUGUUGCAUGGAAUAAUAGAAUACGGCCUCGGUUCUAUUCUGUUGGUCUUAUAGAACAACAAACAAGUUGGUGGAAGCUACUAAAAGUUGACGUUGGUGCGUGGUUCUGUUGUUCCAUGUUACAUGACUUCGUUCUGUUGCCUGAGGGUGUAAACCUCAGAGCCAGGUGAGGCUUGUUUCAUGAGCAAUGUUCCAUUCAAGCGCCCAGCUGAGGCUGGCUCUCCUCCCAACUGAGGCAAUGGUUAAAAGAAAUAGUUGCGGCGGCAUCAGUACUGCAUCGUGAGAGGUGAAAUUCUUAGACCGAUGCAAGACUAACUGAAGCGAAAGCGUUUGCCGAGGAUAUUUUCAUUAAUCAAGAACGAAAGUUAGAGGUUCGAAGGCGAUCAGAUACCGCCCUAGUUCUAACCAUAAACGUUGCCAACUAGCAAUUGGGUUGCGAUUCCUUUAGUUAGUUUUGGGCGGGCGGGGUAAAAGCCGUCCCUCAGCUAACCAUUAUGAUCCACCCAGCGGCUCUCGUAGGGAAACCAAAGUGUUUGGGUUCCGGGGGAAGUAUGAUUGCAAAGUUGAAACUUAAAGGAAUUGACGGAAGGGCACCACCAGGAGUGGAGCCUGCGGCUUAAUUUGACUCAACACGGGGAAACUUACUAGAUUAGAACUCUGGAAUGAUUGACAGAUUGAUAGCUCUUUCUUGAUUCAGAGGAUGGUGGUGCAUGGCCGUUCUUGAUUCGUAUUCCGAAACGUCUGCUUAAUUGCGAUAACGAGUGAGACCUCACCCAACUAACUAGUCGUUCGGCGCGCUGUGGGGCGUUAAAGUCUAGCGUGACGCUGAUGCCGUAGGGGGCAACUCCGAAAGUUGAUGCGUUUGCGUUAGAUGCUCUCUGCUCGUCGGCGGACUUCUUAGAGGGAUAAACGGUGUUUUAGCCGUAAGAAACGAGGCAAUAACAGGUCUGUGAUGCCCUUAGAUACUCUAGGCCGCACGCGUGCUACAAUGGCGUGUGCAGAAAGCUUGUUCGAGGCACGUCCAGAGAGAACUGCUAGUUUGGCUGAGAGGUUGGCAGCAAUGUUAGCUUUGAGGUCGGCUUGUAAGUGACUUUGGUAACGGGCCGAGAGAAACCGCGGCCGAAAGGUCGCGGCAAUCAAAAAUACACGCCGUGAUUUGGGAUUGGGGAUUGCAAUUAUUGCCCAUGAACGAGGAAUUCCCAGUAAGCGCAAUUCAUCAUAUUGCGUUGAUUACGUCCCUGCCCUUUGUACACACCGCCCGUCGCUACUACCGAUUGGAAGUUUUAGUGAGGUAUUUGGACCUGUAACCCAUGAGCGGGGCAACUCGUUCGGGGCCGCGGGGAAGUCUAUCGAACUCAAAUUUCUAGAGGAAGUAAAAGUCGUAACAAGGUUUCCGU